GCUCAUUUGGUUAAGCGUCUGACUCUUGAUUUCAGCUGAGGUCAUGAUCUCAUGGUUUGUGGGUUCAAGCCCCACAGUGGGCU
rnacentral:tRNA from 1 species